AGAUCUCUUUGGUGGUGAGUGAUCUGAUCUUGUAACUUUAGAGUUAGUUGUUAGGUUGUUACUUGGGUAGUUAGGAUUAGUUAAGAUUGGUUAAACCGAUUAACUGUUAUAUCCGGUUUAGCUUAAUUGAUUCUGGUAAGUCUUGUAAACCUUGUUCGUAUAGAAGGGUAUGAGAGAGAGAGAGAGAGAGAGAGAGAGAGAGAGAGAGAGAGAGAGAGAGAGGCUCUGGUGUUCUUCGUCAUCUCUGUUUUGUAGAGAUGCAUUUGUUCUAGUGGAUUUGCUAGACUGAAUCUGGAUUCAGGGAUUAGUUCUCCACAUCAAAGAGAUACAUUGGGUUCUAUUUACUAUGUGUAGCGAGAACGUAACAAGAGGCUACACUACACUAGCAUGCUCAUCAUUUUGUAAACCAGUUGCUACGAGUGAUUAAUAUAACAGUCUGAGGUCUGGUAAUAACGGUAUGAUAUUUUGUAAGGCUGAAGCUGUAAGAACUUUUUGAAGAUGUAAGCUACAAGAUAGAUGUGAUGAGUCCACAUAGAUAGUUAAAAUAAGAA